UUACAAAAGGGUGCCAUUCUGGGUU
rnacentral:piRNA from 1 species